rnacentral:rRNA from 1 species
UAGGGAAUAUUGGACAAUGGGGGCAACCCUGAUCCAGCCAUACCGCGUGAGUGAAGAAGGCCCUCGGGUUGUAAAGCUCUUUUGUCCGGAAAGAAAAGCUUCGGGUUAAUACCCCGGGGUUCUGACGGUACCGGAAGAAUAAGCACCGGCUAACUUCGUGCCAGCAGCCGCGGUAAUACGAAGGGUGCAAGCGUUACUCGGAAUUACUGGGCGUAAAGCGUGCGUAGGUGGUUGUUUAAGUCUGAUGUGAAAGCCCUGGGCUCAACCUGGGAAUGGCAUUGGAAACUGGGCAGCUAGAGUGCGGUAGAGGGUAGUGGAAUUCCAGGUGUAGCAGUGAAAUGCGUAGAGAUCGGGAGGAACAUCUGUGGCGAAGGCGACUGCCUGGACCAGCACUGACACUGAGGCACGAAAGCGUGGGGAGCAAACA